GUUGUAUAGUUAAGUGACUAAGCGUACACGGUGGAUGCCUAGGCGGUAGAAGGCGACGAAGGACGUAGUAACUUGCGAUAAGCCACGGGGAGUGAGUAAACACGCUUUGAUCCGUGGAUUUCCGAAUGGGAAAACCCAUCCUUAUUAAGGAUAUCCCUAUAUGGGAGGCUAACCUGGAGAACUGAAACAUCUAAGUACCCAGAGGAAAAGAAAUCAACCGAGAUUCCCCAAGUAGCGGCGAGCGAACGGGGACCAGCCCUAAAGCAUUUAUUAAGAUAGCAGAACACUCUGGAAAGAGUGACGACACAAGGUGAUAGUCCUGUAUGCGAAAUCUUAUUAAGUGUUAUUCGAGUAGGACGGAACACGUGAAAUUCUGUCUGAACAUGGGGGGACCACCCUCCAAGGCUAAAUACUCUCUACCGACCGAUAGUGAACCAGUACCGUGAGGGAAAGGCGAAAAGAACCCCAGAAGGGGAGUGAAAUAGAACCUGAAACCGUGUACGUACAAGCAGUAGGAGCCCCUCAUUAAAGCAUCUUUGCUUUAGUGAGGAAAAGUUAAAUCUUAACUUAACGCAUUAAAGAAAAAUAGCGAAGCAAUGGCAAAACAGGUUGGACUUAUAUUUUGACCCGUAGCGCAAUGUGCCUAAAAGCACAUGAGCAACGGAAGCAAAAUAAAAGUCCAAGAUGUACAGCCAAUGCAAGCGGAAGGUUCUUUAAUGAGGGGUGACUGCGUACCUUUUGUAUAAUGGGUCAGCGACUUACAUUAUGUAGCGAGGUUAACUGAAUAAGGGAGCCGAAGGGAAACCGAGUCUUAAAUGGGCGACUAGUUGCAUGGUGUAGACCCGAAACCGGGCGAUCUAUCCAUGGCCAGGUUGAAGGUGCCGUAACAGGUACUGGAGGACCGAACCCACGUAUGUUGAAAAAUGCGGGGAUGAGCUGUGGAUCGGAGUGAAAGGCUAAUCAAGCCCGGAGAUAGCUGGUUCUCCUCGAAAACUAUUUAGGUAGUGCCUCAUGUAUCACUGUUGGGGGUAGAGCACUGUUAUGGUCUAGCGGGCCGUCAAGGCUUAGCAGCCCAUUGCAAACUCCGAAUACCAACAAGUGCAAUCAUGGGAGACAGACAGCGGGUGCUAACGUCCGUUGUCAAGAGGGAAACAACCCAGACCACCAGCUAAGGUCCCUAAACACUACUCAGUGGGAAAGGAUGUGGGAAGGCUUAGACAGUCAGGAGGUUGGCUUAGAAGCAGCCACCCUUUAAAGAAAGCGUAAUAGCUCACUGAUCGAGUCGGCCUGCGCCGAAGAUUUAACGGGGCUAAGUAGUGUACCGAAGCUGUGGAUGCGUGCAUUCUCUUAAAAUUAUUUAUCAAGCUGUCGCAACUUGUUGCGACAAAGCAACCCAAACUGAUCGAUACUGAUCCGCAUGGAAGCCGCAAUUAGAACUUUCAAAAAGUUAUGAGAGCGACAAGUUGCGACAAAGCAACCCAAAUGGAUCGAGAGGUUUGGGAGGAGAUGAGUUGUUUUAAGUGAAUGCACGCAUGGUAGAGGAGCGUCGUGUAAGCCUGCGAAGGGGCUCUGUAAGGAGUCCUGGAGGUAUCACGAGUGCGAAUGCUGACAUGAGUAGCGAUAAAGGGAGUGAAAAGCUCCCUCGCCGAAAGACCAAGGUUUCCUACGCAACGCUAAUCGACGUAGGGUUAGUCGACCCCUAAGACGAGGCCGAAAGGCGUAGUCGAUGGGAAGCAGGUUAAUAUUCCUGCACUUUUUAUAACUGCGAUGGAGGGACGGAGAAGGCUAAACUAGCUUGCUGAUGGUUGCAAGUUUAAGGUAGUAGGCAGAGAUCUUAGGCAAAUCCGGGAUCUUAAUGCUGAGAACUGAUGACGAGUCCUGAAUUGGACGAAGUAGUUGAUGCCAUGCUUCCAAGAAAAGCUUCUAAGCUUCAGGUUAUAAAGAAUCGUACCCCAAACCAACACAGGUGGUCAGGAUGAGAAUUCCAAGGCGCUUGAGAGAACUCGGGUGAAGGAACUAGGCAAAAUAACACCGUAACUUCGGGAGAAGGUGUGCCCCUGAUGGUGAAGCACUUGCUGCGUAAGCUAUUAGGGGUUGCAGAGACCAGGUGGCUGCAACUGUUUACUAAAAACAUAGCACUGUGCAAAAUCGAAAGAUGANNNNNNNACGGCGGCCGUAACUAUAACGGUCCUAAGGUAGCGAAAUUCCUUGUCGGGUAAGUUCCGACCUGCACGAAUGGCGUAAUGAUGGCCACACUGUCUCCACCCGAGACUCAGCGAAAUUGAACUCGCAGUUAAGAUGCUGCGUACCCGCGGCUAGACGGAAAGACCCCGUGAACCUUUACUACAGCUUUGCACUGGACUUUGAUACUAUCUGUGUAGGAUAGGUGGGAGGCUAAGAAGCAGUGACGCCAGUCAUUGUGGAGCCAAUCUUGAAAUACCACCCUGAUAUUAUUGAGGUUCUAACCUAGACCAGUGAAUCCUGGUCAGGGACAGUGUAUGGUGGGUAGUUUGACUGGGGCGGUCUCCUCCUAAAGAGUAACGGAGGAGCGCGAAGGUACNNNNNNNAAAGGUACUCCGGGGAUAACAGGCUGAUACCGCCCAAGAGUUCAUAUCGACGGCGGUGUUUGGCACCUCGAUGUCGGCUCAUCACAUCCUGGGGCUGAAGUCGGUCCCAAGGGUAUGGCUGUUCGCCAUUUAAAGUGGUACGCGAGCUGGGUUUAGAACGUCGUGAGACAGUUCGGUCCCUAUCUGCCGUGGGCGUUGGAGAAUUGAGGGGGGCUGCUCCUAGUACGAGAGGACCGGAGUGGACGAUCCGCUGGUGUUCCAGUUGUCAUGCCAAUGGCAUUGCUGGGUAGCUACGAUCGGGAAGGAUAACCGCUGAAAGCAUCUAAGCGGGAAACCUGCCCCAAGAUAAGUUCUCCCUAGACUUUAAGUCUUCUGAAGGGCCGUUAAAGACGAUGACGUUGAUAGGCAAGGUGUGGAAGUUCAGUAAUGGAUGAAGCUAACUUGUACUAAUUACCCGUGAGGCUUAACUAUACAACUCAAAAG
rnacentral:rRNA from 1 species